CCUGAGAUGUUAACUCUAGUUUUAUGUAUAAGUUUUGGGAACUGUCCGUAAGACAAUCGAAAAUGAGACGUUGUUUAUUUGUUUUCCUAUUGCCUUGUUUCGGAGUGGUGCUAAGUGACUUUUGUACAUGGCAUCCCAGGAUUUUCGAGUCCCAAACAGACUACUGCCUUUACGGAUGUUGCAAAACCAACACCUAUCCUUGCUGUGAUGUACCAAC
rnacentral:sRNA from 1 species